GGAGAGUGCCUGGACAAUGGAGGGGGUGCAAACAAUAACUAUCACACUUAGGCAUAACGUGAAAGCCCAAGGAUAAACCUAUGGAAGAAGCUCUCUCAUCUUCCUCACAUCACGCUAACGAAUUCACAUGGAGAAGAACCAGGUCGGGACAACGAACCUUGCCGCGCCGGCUUUCGCCACCGGCGGCGGAAAUCUGGACUUGAAGAGCGUCCUCCACCUCCUUCACGCCUCUCUCAAACACGAAAAUGACAAACUCCUCCUUCCGAGUACAAAUUAACGCGAUUUGAUUCCACAACGGAACGAAUCUAACGGCGAAUGGAAACACGAAAACAAAAUCUAACGCGAUUCACACCACAACAGACGAAAUAACGAGAUGAAAAGGAGAAAACUCUACUGGCGGUGGCAAAGAAGAGUUCGAGACUCAAAUGAUUCACAACUCCGAUCCUUUGAUCCUCUCUGAUGCGGUUUGCUUUUGCUACACGAGUGGAAUACUCCGAAACUCUACGGUUGAGCUGAUGCGAACAAAUGUCGUGGCAAUGGGAGGAUGUUGAAGAAAUUAAGGAGAGGAUGAUAAAGAUUCGAGACGCGGGAAGAUUGAAGAAGAAAGGGAAUCGAGAGCGGGAAGAAGAAAAAGAAGGACCCCAAAAUCCAACUCUAAUCGCGUAUUUAUAUCUCUCAAACUGAAUUCUGGAUAUUUGCACGUGGUGAAGUUACUCGGCUUGGCAUCUUGUGCUUUUGCUUUGGCUUUGACACGCGUGGCGUGGCUUAUUGUUGUGCUGCGUUUGUUGCCGUGUUGUUACUGCCCUUUGCAACUUGGAUUUGGCGUUUUGCGCGGUAGCUGAUCAUGGCUUUGGAGAUGGUAUUUUUUCGAAUUGUCUCAUGGAUAGCAGCGCAUUGAUGUGGUUUGGUUUGAUGGUUGUGGUUGAGUUUAGAUGUAGGUUGAGCUGUUGUUUUGAUUUUUAUAAGCGCUUCAAGUUGUUGGCUUGUGUAGCUUUGGCUAUUGACGUGUUGGUUGGUUCGCGUUUUAUCUCGCAGCUUUUCGGCUUACUUCAUCGCGUUCUUCCCGUUUGCAGAUGGCUUUUGUAGCAGCUUUAGUGAAGUACCCCUCUGCUAUGUACUUCCGAUGCGUUUUCAAUAUUUUGCAGCUACAACUUACUUCCACUGCGUUUUACUCACGUGUUGUACUUGGCUUUUGCAACCGCACCUUAUUUUUGUCUUUUCUUUUACGUCAUUUUGGCAUUGUGAUGUGUUUCCUGCAUCAUGCUGUUAUGGAUGUGGGCCAAGGGGAUUAAUUGGGUUAUAUAAAAAUGGAUUUAAGAA